UCAUCAGUGUAGUGCUGAUGAGCAGACGGUAGCUAUCAAGGAUAUAUAUAUAUAUAUAUAUCAUUGAUAGCUACCGUCUUCACGUUGCCUUUUCCCA